AUGUAAUUUUGAUAGAUUUUAUAGACGAAGUCAGUUGGGAAGCUGCACCGUAGGGGGUGAAAGUCCUGUAGUUUAAAUAGAAUUUAUCAGAUAAUUGGCAUCCCAAGUAGGCCGGGGCACGUGAAAUCCUGGUUGAAUCAGCGAGGACCAUCUCGUAAGGCUAAAUACAUAUAGUGACCGAUAGCGAAUUAGUACCGUGAGGGAAAGGUGAAAAGCACCCCGGGAGGGGAGUGAAAUAGAACCUGAAACCGUGUGCUUACAAUCAGUCGGAGUGCCGCACUUACUUUGGAAGAUUAUAGAGAUGAGCCUUUCAAAGUAAGUGCGGUAUGACGGCGUGCCUUUUGCAUAAUGAGCCGGUGAGUUAAUGUUAUCAGCAGGUUAAGUGGUACAGCCACGUAGUCUUAGCGAAAGCGAGUGUUAAUAGCGCGCGAAGUUGAUAGUAUUAGACCCGAAUCCUGGUGAUCUACCCAUGUCCAGGUUGAAGCCCCGAUAAAACGGGGUGGAGGACCGCACCAACCGAUGUUGAAAAAUCGGUGGAUGAGGUGUGGGUAGGGGUGAAAGGCCAAACAAACCAGGGGAUAUCUGGUUCUCUCCGAAAACUGUUUAGGCAGUGCCUUGCAGUAGAGUUAUGGAGGUAGAGCACUGAAUGGGCUAGGGGGCAUAUCGCUUACCGAACCUUAUCAAACUCCGAAUGCCAUAUACUAUUAGUCCGGCAGUCAGACUGUGUAAGAUAAGUUUCAUAGUCGAAAGGGAAAAAGCCCAGACCGUCAGCUAAGGUCCCCAAGUAUAGAUUAAGUGGAAAAGGAUGUGGGAUUUCCAAGACAACUAGGAUGUUGGCUUAGAAGCAGCCACUCAUUAAAAGAGUGCGUAAUAGCUCACUAGUCGAGAGAUCCCGCGCCGAAAAUGUCCGGGGCUAAAAUCUAUCACCGAAGCUACGGGUGGCACCUUCAUGGUGCCGCGGUAGAGGAGCGUUCUGUACUGGCUGAAGCCAUACCGUAAGGAGUGGUGGACGGUACAGAAGUGAGAAUGUUGGCAUAAGUAGCGAGAUGCGGGUGAGAAUCCCGCAGGUCGAAAAUCUAAGGUUUCCUGAGGAAGGUUCGUCCGCUCAGGGUUAGUCGGGUCCUAAGCCGAGGCCGAGAGGCGUAGGUGAUGGACAAUCGGUUGAUAUUCCGAUACCACUAUGAAGCGUUUGACCGAAGGGGUGACGCAGGAGGAUAAGAUGUGCGUACGAUUGGAUUGUACGUCCAAGCACUGAGAAAGGACAGGGAGGCAAAUCCCUCUGUCCGCUACUUUCAAGGUGUUACGGGGAGAGGCCCACGGGCCUCGAGUAUCUGAUUUCACGCUGCCAAGAAAAGCCUCUAGGGAGUGACAUAGUGCCCGUACCGCAAACCGACACAGGUAGAUGAGGAGAGAAUCCUAAGACCAUCGGAAGAAUUGUUGUUAAGGAACUCGGCAAAUUAACCCCGUAACUUCGGGAGAAGGGGUGCCGGAGAGGAAUCUCCGGCCGCAGUGAAAUGGCCCAAGCAACUGUUUAGCAAAAACACAGGUCUCUGCUAAAGCGUAAGCUGAAGUAUAGGGGCUGACGCCUGCCCGGUGCUGGAAGGUUAAGGGGAUCACUUAGCGCAAGCGAAGGUGUGAACUUAAGCCCCAGUAAACGGCGGCCGUAACUAUAACGGUCCUAAGGUAGCGAAAUUCCUUGUCAGGUAAGUUCUGACCCGCACGAAUGGCGUAACGACUUGGGCACUGUCUCAACAACAAAUCCGGCGAAAUUGUAGUGCAAGUGAAGAUGCUUGCUACCCGCGAUUGGACGGAAAGACCCCGUAGAGCUUUACUGUAGCUUAGCAUUGAAUUUCGAUAUUGUCUGUACAGGAUAGGUGGGAGACUGGGAAAGAGGAUCGUCAGGUCCUCCGGAGUCAUCCUUGGGAUACCACCCUGGCAGUAUUGAGGUUCUAACCGGAGACCAUGAUCUGGUCACGGGACAUUGUUAGGUGGGCAGUUUGACUGGGGCGGUCGCCUCCUAAAAAGUAACGGAGGCGCCCAAAGGUUCCCUCAGCACGGACGGAAAUCGUGCGCAGAGCGUAAACGCAUAAGGGAGCUUGACUGCAAGACCUACAAGUCGAGCAGGUACGAAAGUAGGGCUUAGUGAUCCGGUGGUCCCGUAUGGAAGGGCCAUCGCUCAACGGAUAAAAGGUACCCCGGGGAUAACAGGCUUAUAGUGCCCAAGAGUUCAUAUCGACGGCACUGUUUGGCACCUCGAUGUCGGCUCUUCGCAUCCUGGGGCUGGAGAAGGUCCCAAGGGUUCGGCUGUUCGCCGAUUAAAGCGGAACGCGAGCUGGGUUCAGAACGUCGUGAGACAGUUUGGUCCCUAUCCUCUGCAGGCGUUGGAAAUUUGAGGAGAUCUGUCCCUAGUACGAGAGGACCGGGAUGGACGAACCUCUGGUGUACCAGUUGUCGCGCCAGCGGCAUCGCUGGGUAGCUAUGUUCGGAAGGGAUAACCGCUGAAAGCAUCUAAGCGGGAAGCCUACUCCAAGAUUAGAUUUCCCUUGGCCUUAAGGCCACUGAAGACCCCUCGGAGACUACGAGGUUGAUAGGCUGGAGGUGUAAGCACAGCGAUGUGUUCAGCUGACCAGUACUAAUCGGUCGUGAGGCUUGACC
rnacentral:rRNA from 1 species